CGGAAGCGGGGCUCGGCGAGGGAGAGGAGAACCGGAAAUGUUUGCGUUCCAAAGUGGCUGUCAUACGAAUUGCUCGACAUUCAGCUAUUCUAUGUUCUCUGAGAAUCCAGUAUGUGUGUGGGAGUGGGGAGGCCCGGUGGGACACUGUAUCGGUAGCUUCUCACUCCUCUCCUCUCCUCUGACUGACCACAGUGGCACUUAGUAUUCUGGGGGACUGCAUACCAUGAAAGGGUUGCCCUGAAAUAUUGGAAACCAACCUACACUACCAGGUGAGAGUUUUAUAACAAUACAACUUCAAUGAGUCUGGUGUCUGGCUGGCAAAGUGACGCCCAUGGAUGUAGUUCUUACAGAAAGGAAAGAUGAUGUUCAACCCCAUGGUUUCCCUGAGAACUGGCUUCAGCAAGAAGAGGACAGCUUAUCUAAAAACAAGGCUUUUUUUUCUCUGUUCCAUUUUUGGUUCAAUUUUGCUUGUAUUUUUCUUCUGUGAGUUUUUGGUGUACUACCUUGUUAUAGUUAAGUGCAGCUGGCCAGAAGUGAAAGGAGCACACAAGGAGGACAGUACUCCGGUUCUCAAAGCUAUGUUCUUGGCAGACACACAUCUUCUUGGUGAAAUCAGGGGUCACUGGUUUGAUAAACUGAGGAGGGAAUGGCAAAUGGAGAGGUCUUACCAGAGUGCCCUCUGGUUGCUGCAGCCAGAUGUUGUCUUCAUUCUAGGAGAUAUAUUUGAUGAAGGCAAAUGGAGCAUUCCAGAGGCCUGGAGUCGUGAUGUUGUUCGCUUUCAGAAGAUGUUCCGGCAUCCUCCUCACACAGAACUAAUAGUUCUAGUUGGGAAUCAUGACAUAGGCUUUCAUUAUGACAUGAAUAUCUAUAAGUUAAGCCGAUUUGAGAAAACUUUCAAUUUUACUUCUGGAAAAUUAGUAUCUCUCAAAGGCAUCAACUUUGUCCUGUUGAACAGCGUGGCUCUGGAGGGGGAUGACUGUGACAUUUGCAGAGCAGCAGAGAAUCAGCUUGAAAGAAUUUCUACCAAGCUCAGUUGCUCCAGGAUGAGGGAACAUCCUGAUUUUCGAAAGAAGUGCAAAAAUGUUGAAAAGACACCCAUGUCAGCACCAAUCCUUCUGCAGCACUAUCCUCUGUAUCGGUUCAGUGACUUGGAAUGCACUGGGGAGGAUUCUGCUUCUCCAGAAGAAAAGAAAGUGCUUUUCAGAGAGAAAUAUGAUGUACUUUCACAAGAUGCAUCUAAAAAGAAGCAGAUCCAACCAAAAAUGGUCCUACAUCUAGUGGAAAACCCUUCUAGAAGAGCAGCAAACGCUGUUUUAUCAGCACUGCAGCUAAAGGAAAACUAUACCCCAGAAUGAAUACUUGACCAACAAAUUAUGUUGUAACAGUUUAUAUGAAGUUAAGUGACCUCUAUCAGUAGAUAUUGCCCUUUUACAUCCUUUCCCUUGCUCCACCAUUUAGUCAUGGACUGUGUGCUGAUGGGGCCUAGCAUGUAUGUGUGCCCUUGGUUUGUUUGUGUGCACUGUGAAUCCUAUGAUCCCAGGAGGUAAUUUUAGGUUUACUCAAGUGCAAAUACUACUAACAAAAAGUAUAUUUUUAUGAAAAUGUUUCAUUUAGAUGAAGCAGGGUUUUACAUAUGAUCCGGGUUAUGCAAUAGAUUUUUAUAAAGACCUACAUUGUUUGGGGGGGGGGGGGGGGGGAUAUAGUUUUUCUUUAAAUUCACAUGCAUGGAAAACAAAAGGCAGUACAGAGCAUGGACACUUUUGGGAGGAAGUGAAUAGGAGCAGCAUUAGGCACUCAUGGGUAGUUUUCAGCAGGUUCAUAAAAUGUAUGCCAUUAGGCGAACACCUCUGGUUCUGGAACGUGAUAUGUUAGACAGGUUUCCAGAUGGUUUUGCCAAUAAAAUGAGUUUGCCAAGCAAAAGUGUGCAACACUGCAGUGCUGUGGUUUAAGGUACAGUAUACUAUAUUCAUUUUAUUGAUGAUGAUAAAGUCCUUGUGUCAAGUAUUAAGACGGGCAUACACGGGCAGAUUUAAGCUGCCGAGUAGAGUCCUUUAGGCUGAUUUGACAGUAUACUUGCCCAUGUAUGGGGCCCUGGCCCACCUCACCAAGAUCUGACUGAAAAUUGGCCAGGUGUCGAUUGGACAGGUUUGAUUUUCCCGUCAUAUCGGGGACCACAUUGGCUCAUUGAUGCAAUCUUCGAUUUGAUGGCCCUAGGGCCAAAUGAUUGAAUAAACCUGAUAUAGCCCACCAUAGAUGGGCAUAUUGGGAGGAGAUCUGCUUGUUGCCAAGAGAGUGGAUCUCAACGUGUAUGACCAACCAUAGAAUAGUGCCAGUUUGUGCAUGCAUGUUGCGUAGAAGGUUGGGCUUUCCCUGUAUGUAUUGCCUGUUUCAAAGCUUAUUUUCUGCACCUGGAUGCAUUGCAUACUACUGAGUGGCAGGACACAUCAUAUACUGAUUAUUCUUUAUACAGUGUCUGUGCUUGUGUGACAUUCUCUCUGUGUGAUUGCAUAGUUGCUGCAGUUGUUACAGCCACGGCUCAUACUGAGUGGCCAUACACACAGUGCCUGCGAAGUGCUCCACCAAGGCAAAAUUCCUGAGAUAAGUGUCCCUUCCUUCAGCUGGAGAAACCGCAACAACCCAAGCUUCAUCAUGGGGAGCAUCACAGCAGCCAAUUAUUCGCUUGCAAAGUGUUUCCUCCCGAAAGAGAAUAUGAUAAUCUAUAUCUACUGUACGGUGGGCACGCUGUUCACUAGCUAUGUAUUGGCAUGUCUGUGGGCUUGCACCAUUCAGAGGAUUCACUCAGGAAGGAAAAUAAAGCUGGUAUGAAGAGGAACAUGGCACAGAGAGGCAUCUUUCUCCUAGCCUGGUCAGGAGACCCCAAGCAUGGGCAGACAUUUUCCUCUCAAAUAAAGCAGGACAUAUGACCAAAUGUAUAUUUAUUAAAUGUUGCAUCUGUACAAUGUGUGGGUUUAUUUGUAACUUGAAGGAAGUAUAGCCCCUUCUUAGCACUAAAGCAGGUGACAAGCACACAUUGCUAUGUAACUUGUUGGAUCAGCCCAUGCUCAGUGGUUUCUUUUCCCCCCCCUCCCCACUGUAUUUUUUUUUUUUUCCCAAUAACAUAAAAAAAAAAAGUAUAUUUGAGGUCACAUGAUAUGGUUUUAUAAGAAUAAAUGUAAUUGUCUGUGAUGUUUAUUUUUAUGGAGCUCUUAAAAUAUCAGUCUCUGUAAAAUGGGAAAAACCAAGCAGGGGGUGGUGGAACUAGAAAUAUAAAACACUAUUUAUAAUAGGAAAGCCACCCAUAUGCCAUAAUGAAUGAAAAUAAAAUUACAAUUUUUUUUUUUUGGUUGUAGUGAUAUCUGUAAAUGCAGUUGCUGUGAUAUCAGCAGCAUAUCUAUCCCUUUCUAUUCUCUACACUGCUGGUUUUGAGUCUUGAAACUGAAAUGUAGCAGAAACCAUCUGACUGACAGACCUAUGAAGAAACAUACAGGACACCUUGGAAGAGAAGAGCUGGCUUCUGCAAUGCUAUUUCAAGAAUUAAGAAUGAGCAGCAGUUGCAAUUACACUUGAAAAUAAUUUCAGCUUUGACUGAAUGUAUAUAGGAAAGCUGCUUUGACAUUUCGCGUGUGCGUGAACAAUGGGGUGGAGUUCCGCUUUCUAAGAAAAUCAUAGUAUCCAGCAUUUCUCCUGUGCUCCCAUUGCCAAGUUACAGGCUGCACUGCUGGUGUCUCUCAUGUCUGGGAAUGGGAUUCAAAACAGACCCUGGCAUUUCAAGUACACAGAGGCCCAAACAGCCCCCACCAGCCCAAUAAAUAGUGACAGUCUGUGGCAUCUUACAGCAGCCCCUCUGGCAUUAGCCUGGUGUCUGUGCACAGGAGGAGGUAUUCUAUGUAACAAAGAGAUAAAGCCCUUACAUACAUGGAUCAUUUAUAAACACUGGGCAGCUGAUGGCACCCAGUCACAUUUGACAUUUAUUGUGGGGGGGG